GAGGGUAUAGCUUAGUGGUAAAAAGUAUGCCUAGCAUGCACAAGAUCCUGGAUUCAAUCCCCAGUACCUCUG
rfam:Camelus ferus unplaced genomic scaffold scaffold1533, whole genome shotgun sequence.